GUUUGAUAUCCAGGAGUCAGGACCAGGGCAAUUGUGGAGUCACCUCUCAGUUUUCACAUUUAUUGUUAAUUGUCAUCUGGGAAAUCCUGGAGUUUUAUUCAUCUCAUGCUAAGUUAGGGUCUGAUGUUAACUGAGGCCAUUACUUGAGGCAUGUUCAAUCUGCACAUAAAACUGACCUCAUUUAAAAUCUGAAAAUCCAUUUUUUUAGUCCGUGAAUUUUUGAGAUUUGUCUAUUGAGCCUGUACUCUUCAAUUGAGUGUUGCUGAACCUACAAUCCUUCACUAUUGUAUGGGAGUUGGUUAGA
rnacentral:misc_RNA from 1 species